rnacentral:tRNA from 1 species
GCCGGUGUGCUCAAUGGUUAGAACAUUGGUCUUUGCACCAGAGGGUCACAGGUUCGAUUCCUGGUCAAGGGCA